GGGAGACUGGUUAGGUGCCCGCUGUCCAGAAAGACUCCAUUCAGAUCUCAUUGUGCCUGGGCACCAGAAUCCCAGGAGCCUUCCGAUGGGGUGAGAAGUGAGAAGCUACCCGCCCAGGCAGCUAGGAACAAGCUCCUAGGCAAUUUGUAUUCACCAGGUCAUCCCUCUGGACAUUGGGCAUCCGUGAGCAGGGGUGAGCCGAAGCUGAGCCAUAGUAGCACCUGUGAGCCCCUAUCUUUCCUCUAAGAGGACCCUGUAUGCCAGGACCACUCCAGUGGAAUCUGCGUGACAAUGCCGACCACCUGGCAGAAACCGGAUCUGAGGUAUCGUCCCCUCGGGGUCAAGCCUCCUGGAGGUCCUUGGCAUGCACCGCAUUAAAAGUCAGCCAAAGAAGGAAUCGUUGGUUUCUUCGCCUGCAGCUUGGGGACAAUGGGUUCUGUUACAAUUUUGAUUUAUUUUCUAUUGAUCUCUGUGUGUUUGUUUUUUGAAAAUGCCUAGUGGUUUUCAAGAAGGAGAAGGAUUAGAUGUACCCAAAGAUAUGGAGGAUAAGAAUGUCACUGUUUGGACACAGCCUUCUCAGUCAAAUAAUAACUGA